GACGAACGCUGGCGGCGCGCUUAACACAUGCAAGUCGAGCGAUGAAGCACCUUCGGGUGUGAAUUAGCGGCGAACGGGUGAGGAACACGUGAGAAAUCUGCCUUCAACUCUGGGAUAACUCCGUGAAAACGGGGCUAAUACCGGAUAUGAGAUCUACAGGCAUCUGUGGAUCUGGAAAGUUUUUCGGUUGAAGAUGAUCUCGCGGCCUAUCAGCUUGUUGGUGAGGUAAUGGCUCACCAAGGCGACGACGGGUAGCCGGCCUGAGAGGGCGACCGGCCACACUGGGACUGAGACACGGCCCAGACUCCUACGGGAGGCAGCAGUGGGGAAUAUUGGGCAAUGGAGGAAACUCUGACCCAGCGACGCCGCGUGCGGGAUGAAGGCCUUCGGGUUGUAAACCGCUUUCAGCAGGGAAGAAGCGAAAGUGACAGUACCUGCAGAAAAAGCACCGGCUAACUACGUG
rnacentral:rRNA from 1 species